ACUCCUACGGGAGGCAGCAGUAGGGAAUCUUCCGCAAUGGGCGAAAGCCUGACGGAGCAAUGCCGCGUGAGUGAUGAAGGUUUUCGGAUCGUAAAGCUCUGUUGCCAGGGAAGAACGCUUGGGAGAGUAACUGCUCUCAAGGUGACGGUACCUGAGAAGAAAGCCCCGGCUAACUACGUGCCAGCAGCCGCGGUAAUACGUAGGGGGCAAGCGUUGUCCGGAAUUAUUGGGCGUAAAGCGCGCGCAGGCGGUCAUUUAAGUCUGGUGUUUAAUCCCGGGGCUCAACCCCGGAUCGCACUGGAAACUGGGUGACUUGAGUGCAGAAGAAGAGAGUGGAAUUCCACGUGUAGCGGUGAAAUGCGUAGAUAUGUGGAGGAACACCAGUGGCGAAGGCGACUCUCUGGGCUGUAACUGACGCUGAGGCGCGAAAGCGUGGGGAGCAAACAGGAUUAGAUACCCUGGUAGUCCACGCCGUAAACGAUGAGUGCUAGGUGUUAGGGGUUUCGAUACCCUUGGUGCUG
rnacentral:rRNA from 1 species